AAAAAACCUGUGCUGUUCCGUCCGUCUCGCUCUGGAUCAGCUAAGACUGUUGGAAAAGAAGCUCUUAUCCCUAGUGAUUGGCUAAAAGUAUGACCUUGAUGUCAACAUCAGCAUUAGCACCUCUGCACUGCAGUGUCCAAUCUGGCAACACUGUUAGGGAUGUAACAUUUCCGUCACAAGCUUGAGGUAUUCGGCCUAUCACAACGCCCUGGACAGCUGGCCAAUCAGAGCACACCUCAGUUUUCAGAACAAUGAGCUUUGUAAAAAUUCAAGGAGUUUCAGAAAGGCGGAGCAUAGAGGAGAAACAUUAUGUGGAAAAUGUAUUUUUAUUUAUUUUAAUCUUAAGCCGCAUAAACCUGUUGCAUUACACCAAAUACACAAAAUAAUGUUAUUUUUAGCAACAUAAUAUGAGCCCUCUUAAUUGUUGAAGGGAUAAUUCACUCAAAAACAAAAGUUCUAUAAUUUAUGUUGUUUUAAACCUGUAUGACCUUCUUCUAUGGAGCACAAAAUAAUUUAAAUUUUAGAGGUUGAUAUGAAUAAAAAGACACGCUAACAUUAACUCUACCUUGGUUACGACUCUUUUGUAGUUUGAAGAUAAAUCACAUAUUUGAAAUGCUGUGAAAGUGAAUACAUGUGUGAGCUGUCACUGUCACUUUAAAUAAGUUGUAUUGGACAAUGUCAGAUUGGGAAGGUUUGCUUUUAAGUGGCUUAUUGCGUUUUAGUGAACGUAGAUUUUCAUCAACACACAUUUGGACACAUUUAUAUCACAUAGCUUAACGCUGACUGUUUUCAAUGAUUCUGAUGUAACAUUCAUGUAUUAUGUGUAAAUAAAGUAUAUUUGCAGUGUA